rnacentral:rRNA from 1 species
UACGUAGGCAGCAAGCGUUGUUCGGAGUUACUGGGCGUAAAGAGUGCGUAGGCGGUUUUCUAAGUUCGGUGUGAAAUCUCCCGGCUUAACUGGGAGGGUGCGCCGAAGACUGGGGAGCUGGAGUGUGGGAAAGGCAAGCGGAAUUCCUGGUGUAGCGGUGAAAUGCGUAGAUAUCAGGAGGAACACCGGCGGUGUAGACGGCUUGCUAGACCAUAACUGACGCUGAGGCACGAAAGCGUGGGUAGCAAACAGG